CUCCAAUAGCCAAAGCCACAGAUAUAAAAGUGAAUCCCCCCACGUAAAAUGGUGGUAUGAUCAAGCCGGAUAUGGCCAACCAUGAGCUGUUCCUGUGUUGUUGCAGUAUGUGCUCACUUGCUCUACUGAGCGGCAUCUGACAGGACAGGGUCCCGGGGAUACUAUCCUGAGAAUUUGUGCCAAAGUAUCUAGGACACAUUUAAUAGGAUAAAGUACAAGAACAAACUUUAUUAACAAGGCAAUACGACAUCCUCUCUUUUCAACAACUUCAGUUCACGUUUCCAUCAAACCGCGCCCAGUAUUUCCAGCCAUUGAGAAAAAGGACAGUUUUUAUACAAAAAAAAAAAAAAGACACUAUUUUUUUCCAGUCAAUUUUCCAACCAAGUUGGCUUUGAAAACAGUGUGUGAACAUGGUCUCAGUCAGUCCCUCAGUACACAACACAACAGAAAAAUGGCACACCAGCUUGGAUAUGUGCAGGACAACACCA